AACGAACGCUGGCGGCAGGCUUAACACAUGCAAGUCGAGCGCCCCGCAAGGGGAGCGGCAGUCGGGUGAGUAACGCGUGGGAAUCUACCCAUCUCUACGGAAUAACGCUUGGAAACGUGUGCUAAUACCGUAUACGUCCUUCGGGAGAAAGAUUUAUCGGAGAUGGAUGAGCCCGCGUUGGAUUAGCUAGUUGGUGGGGUAAAGGCCUACCAAGGCGACGAUCCAUAGCUGGUCUGAGAGGAUGAUCAGCCAAACUGGGACUGAGACACGGCCCAGACUCCUACGGGAGGCAGCAGUGGGGAAUAUUGGACAAUGGGCGCAAGCCUGAUCCAGCCAUGCCGCGUGAGUGAUGAAGGCCCUAGGGUUGUAAGGCUCUUUCACCGGUGAAGAUAAUGACGGUAACCGGAGAAGAAGCCACGGCUAACUUCGUGCCAGCCGCCGCGGUAAUAC
rnacentral:rRNA from 1 species